UCUAAUGUGGCAGACUAGUGCAAUGAAUUUAAGAUUCAUUUAUAAAUUUAAAUUUUUUUAGAA
rnacentral:tRNA from 1 species